AUUGAACGCUGGCGGCAUGCUUUACACAUGCAAGUCGAACGGCAGCACGGGUGCUUGCACCUGGUGGCGAGUGGCGAACGGGUGAGUAAUGCAUCGGAACGUGCCCAUGAGUGGGGGAUAGCCCGGCGAAAGCCGGAUUAAUACCGCAUACGCCCUUAGGGGGAAAGCGGGGGAUCUUCGGACCUCGCGCUAUUGGAGCGGCCGAUGUCGGAUUAGCUAGUAGGUGAGGUAAAGGCUCACCUAGGCGACGAUCCGUAGCUGGUCUGAGAGGAUGAUCAGCCACACUGGGACUGAGACACGGCCCAGACUCUACGGAGGCAGCAUGGGGAAUUUUGGACAAUGGGCGCAAGCCUGAUCCAGCCAUGCCGCGUGAGUGAGAAGGCCUCGGUUGUAAGUACGU
rnacentral:rRNA from 1 species